AUGUUGCUGAAUUCUUGCAAGGAGCACCAGGGCGAGCAGCAAGGUGGACGCAGCGGGGAGCACCUGCGAGCAGCAAGGUGGGCGCAGCGGGGAUCACCUAGGCGAGUAGCAAGGGAGGGCUCCCUGGGUGCAGUGGCAAGGGAGGGCGCCCUGGCGCGGCAAGGGAGGGCCUGGGCGUGGCUGGGAGGGCCUAGGCGCGGAGAGGAUGGCCUGCGCGCGGCCUGGGGACCGAAGCUGGGCGGCGAGGACGAGCGCCUGGGCGCGGCCUGGGGACCGAAGCUGGACGGCGAGGACGAGCGCCUGGAUGCGGGGCUGAUGCGGGGACGUGAGGAAGAAGACGACUGGUUUGAAAUUCAAAUCAAGGGCAUAAUUGUCUAUUUGCACUUUUGUCGGCUGUGUGUGAAAAUCCCUCAACGUCUUAUAAUUCUUUCCAGAGGGAGUACUUAA
rnacentral:rRNA from 1 species